rnacentral:rRNA from 1 species
UACGAAGGGGGCUAGCGUUGUUCGGAAUCACUGGGCGUAAAGCGCAUGCAGGCGGAUUGUUAAGUCGGGGGUGAAAUCCCGAGGCUCAACCUCGGAACUGCCUUCGAUACUGGCAAUCUUGAGUCCGGGAGAGGUGAGUGGAACUGCGAGUGUAGAGGUGAAAUUCGUAGAUAUUCGCAAGAACACCAGUGGCGAAGGCGGCUCACUGGCCCGGUACUGACGCUGAGGUGCGAAAGCGUGGGGAUCAAACAGG